rnacentral:lncRNA from 1 species
CUGGAUAGAAGCUGUGAUGACAGUCAAGCAUGGGAGCAGGUUGUUUAGAGAGACUAUGCAGUCUCCAUCCUAGGAGUUUUUCAACACCUGUCUGUAUUUUGCUCAUCUGACCUUUAGUGGAACUGGCUGUGACCAGCAGUGUCAGACUAGAGACCUGCCAAGGGCCCUUCAAACCCCAGUUGUCUUGUGAUUCUAUUAUUACAUCUUGGGGAUGGAGACUUAGUUUGUUUUAGUUGUUUAAGUUUCUGAUUGAGUUUAAUGUAAAACCUGCAAGUGUUAAGGCUGGGCUAGAGUAUGGCCUAAGUAAAACUCAAAAAACAGUAUGCUUUGUCUCACUUGAAGUCCUUAGCUCGGAACAUCUCACUUUAAACCAAGGAUAUUCUCAUUUGAAAUCUGGAACAUGUUUCUUGGAUUUCAGGAAAUCCUGAGUGUGGAACUUGCACAAGAUAAAAUAUGCAGAGCUGAGUAAGAACUGAUGCCUCUCCCAUUGGGGUCUGUCUCUCUUAUCCAGCCAGAAGGAUCACUUUUAAGUUUCAUGAGUGAAGGAGUGAAACAAGUUUGCAGCAGUUCUGGGGACACAGCAUCUUGGGAAAAGCAGGGCUGUGAGAAACUAUUGGCAGGCUGAAAUUGUUCAAACACAGCUGUCUUUGCUGGAGUUCUGAAAGGGAUGUUACACCUGUGAAUUGUAAAAUUUGCUGCUGAUGUUGCUAUCAAGACACCUGCUCAGGCAUACAAAUAAUUGUGAAUAAAUCAACCUUGGGAAUUCA